rnacentral:rRNA from 1 species
UGGCGUCCUCAGGGCGUCCGAGUUGUAAUCUAUAGAGGCGUUUUCCGUGCCGGACCGUGUCCAAGUUCCUUGGAACAGGAUAUCAAAGAGGGUGACAAUCCCGUACUUGACACGAUGACCGGUGCUCUGUGAUACGUCUUCUACGAGUCGAGUUGUUUGGGAAUGCAGCUCAAAAUGGGUGGUGAGUUCCAUCUAAAGCUAAAUAUUGGCGAGAGACCGAUAGCGAACAAGUACCGUGAGGGAAAGAUGAAAAGCACUUUGGAAAGAGAGUUAAACAGUACGUGAAAUUGUUGAAAGGGAAACGAUUGAAGUCAGUCGUGACUGAGAGGCUCAGCCGGUUCUGCCGGUGUAUUCCCCUCAGUCGGGUCAACAUCAGUUUUGUCCGGUGGAAAAGGGCGGUAGGAACGUGGCACCUCCGGGUGUGUUAUAGCCUGCCGUCGCAUACAUCGGGUGAGACUGAGGAAUGCAGCUCGCCUUUAUGGCCGGGGUUCGCCCACGUCCGAGCUUAGGAUGUUGACAUAAUGGCUUUAAACGACC